rnacentral:rRNA from 1 species
UGGUGGAGUGAUUUGUCUGGUUAAUUCCGUUAACGAACGAGACCUCAGCCUACUAAAUAGUCCGGGUAGCAUUCGUGCUGCCUCUUGGACUUCUUAGAGGGACAUUCGGUUUCUAGCCGAAGGAAGUUUGAGGCAAUAACA